UACGUAGGGUGCGAGCGUUAAUCGGAAUUACUGGGCGUAAAGCGUGCGCAGGCGGUUCGUUAAGUCAGCUGUGAAAGCCCCGGGCUUAACCUGGGAAUGGCGGUUGAAACUGGCGAACUUGAAUCUGGCAGAGGGGGGUGGAAUUCCACGUGUAGCAGUGAAAUGCGUAGAUAUGUGGAGGAACACCGAUGGCGAAGGCAGCCCCCUGGGCUAACACUGACGCUCAUGCACGAAAGCGUGGGGAGCAAACAGG
rnacentral:rRNA from 1 species